rnacentral:rRNA from 1 species
UACGGAAGGUCCGGGCGUUAUCCGGAUUUAUUGGGUUUAAAGGGAGCGUAGGCCGGAGAUUAAGCGUGUUGUGAAAUGUAGACGCUCAACGUCUGCACUGCAGCGCGAACUGGUUUCCUUGAGUACGCACAAAGUGGGCGGAAUUCGUGGUGUAGCGGUGAAAUGCUUAGAUAUCACGAAGAACUCCGAUUGCGAAGGCAGCUCACUGGAGCGCAACUGACGCUGAAGCUCGAAAGUGCGGGUAUCGAACAGGAUUAGAAACCCCAGUAGUGACUGACU